AUGCUUCCAAGUGGUGGAGAUGAUGCUCAUGAUGUUCCAUUGAGUAGUGGGUGCAAUGUUGGUACCAAAGUUGCUGAUGAGGAUGCUGGUGCUGCCAGCAUACUUGAUGCCAAAUUGCCUGGUGUUGGUAUUGCUGGGAAUGAAAAUGUUUCUGGUUGUGAAGAUUUGCCGCCAGAGAAUUUCCCGCCUGGAGGUCUUGAUUACGGUGAUGCAUUGCAAUAUGCUUCUAGCAUGGAGGAGGUGCCAUCCGAGGAUGAUGAUUUACUUCUGUCAAUUUCUUCUGACCCCUUGACGCAGGAGGCGCUCUUGUCGUCCCAGGAUUUUCUUUCUACAGACCGUGAAAGCGCAUCAAUAUUGGUGUCCUCUCAAGAUGUCCCAUUGUCAAACCCUGAAACUGGAGGCAUAAUGGUCUCAUCACAGGAACUACCGUCGUCGUCAAACCCUGAUAGUCCAGUUGUUGAACUUAUUAUUUUUCAUCAUUUUCUACAAGCAGAAAGUGGUAAUGUUGUUAAGAAGUACCGAGACACUGACAAGUUGAUAGUUCCCAGAUGGGUGACGACCAAGAUCCGUGAUGGAAAUAUUGAUUCCAAUGUGCUAAAUUGGUUCACAAGAUCAGGUGCUGAUGGUUUUGACCAAUUUUGGGAGCUUCUUUUCCCUACAUUUGAUCCGCCGUCAUUUGUGGCUACCAUGAAGCCUAGUGAAGUAUCUGGGCAUUGGUGCUUGGUUGUUCUGAAUUUGAAGUUCCGUCAUUUCGAGUGUCUUGAUUCACUCCGUGAUGAAACCUGGGGUGAUGCAGUUAGAUUCUUAAGGAAUAUGACAGAUAAUAUAAAGAAGCUUUGGAGGGAGUCCAGUGUAGACAGGGCCAAACCGUUCUCACCGGCGCAUAUUGAUGGUUUCUCUUGCGAGUUUGUCAAGACCUAUUAUUGCCGGGAGGAUGGUGUAAUUGAAAUGGCCGAUUACAGCCAUGCAGACAUUUUGGACAUUAGGAAGACUUUGUUGUAUACCUGCGCAACUAGCGAUGUGUUUGAUGUUGACUUCCGGGGUGAGUGGCUGGAUUGGUGA
rnacentral:rRNA from 1 species